CAGUCGCCGCGGGAAUACGAAGGGUGCAAGCGUUAAUCGGAAUUAUUGGGCGUAAAGCGCGCGUAGGCGGUUUCUUAAGUCUGAUGUGAAAGCCCACGGCUCAACCGUGGAGGGUCAUUGGAAACUGGGAAACUUGAGUGCAGAAGAGGAAAGUGGAAUUCCAUGUGUAGCGGUGAAAUGCGCAGAGAUAUGGAGGAACACCAGUGGCGAAGGCGACUUUCUGGUCUGUAACUGACGCUGAUGUGCGAAAGCGUGGGGAUCAAACAGGAUUAGAUACCCCCGUAGUCCCUGUCUCUUAUAC
rnacentral:rRNA from 1 species